UACGGGAGGCAGCAGUGGGGAAUAUUGCACAAUGGGCGCAAGCCUGAUGCAGCCAUGCCGCGUGUAUGAAAAAGGCCUUCGGGUUGUAAAGUACUUUCAGUCGUGAGGAAGGUGUUAAGGUUAAUAACCUUAGCAAUUGACGUUAGCGACAGAAGAAGCACCGGCUAACUCCGUGCCAGCAGCCGCGGUAAUACGGAGGGUGCGAGCGUUAAUCGGAAUUACUGGGCGUAAAGGGCACGCAGGCGGUUAAUUAAGUUGGAUGUGAAAUCCCCGGGCUUAACCUGGGAAUGGCAUUCAAGACUGGUUAGCUGGAGUCUUGUAGAGGGGGUAGAAUUCCAUGUGUAGCGGUGAAAUGCGUAGAGAUGUGGAGGAAUACCGGUGGCGAAGGCGGCCCCUGGACAAAGACUGACGCUCAUGUGCGAAAGCGUGGGGAGCAAACAGGGAUUAGAUACC
rnacentral:rRNA from 1 species